AUGUUCACUUCAGCAGCACAUAUACUAAAAUUGGAACAAUACAGAGAUUAGCAUGUUCCUGUACAAGGGUGACAUUCAAAUUUGUUAAGUAUUCCAUAUUUAA
ensembl:snRNA U6 U6 spliceosomal RNA